UUCUAGCCCCGAUGGCAGCGGCAUCCUUUUUUGUUAUUGCGCGUGCGAAAUUUUGUUAUGUUUCCGUCUCUUGGUGCGCAAUGACAAAAAAGAUAUAGCGGACAGCGGGAAAUAGC
rnacentral:sRNA from 2 species